UGAAUCCAGCCAUGCGGCGUGAGUGAAAAAGGCCUUCGGGUUGUAAAGCUCUUUUGUCCGGAAAGAAAAGCAUCGGGUUAAUACCCCGGUGUUCUGACGGUACCGGAAGAAUAAGCACCGGCUAAUUUCGUGCCAGCAGCCGCGGUAAUACGAAGGGUGCAAGCGUUAUUCGGAAUUACUGGGCGUAAAGCGUGCGCAGGUGGUUCGUUAAGUCUGAUGUGAAAGCCCUGGGCUCAACCUGGGAAUGGCAUUGGAAACUGGCGGACUGGAGUGCGGUAGAGGGUAGCGGAAUUCCCGGUGUAGCAGUGAAAUGCGUAGAGAUCGGGAGGAACAUCCGUGGGGAAGGCGGCUACCUGGACCAGCACUGACACUGAGGCACGAAAGCGUGGGGAGCAAACAGGAUUAGAUACCCUGGUAGUCCACGCCCUAAACGAUGCGUACUGGAUGUUGGGUGCAUACUUGGCCCUCAGUAUCGAAGCUAACGCAUUAAGUACUCCGCCC
rnacentral:rRNA from 1 species